rnacentral:rRNA from 1 species
GGAAGANUGCCCUAUGGGUUGUAAACUGCUUUUAUACAGGAAGAAAAAGCCCGACGUGUCGGGUGUUGACGGUACUGUACGAAUAAGGAUCGGCUAACUCCGUGCCAGCAGCCGCGGUAAUACGGAGGAUCCAAGCGUUAUCCGGAAUCAUUGGGUUUAAAGGGUCCGUAGGCGGGACAAUAAGUCAGUGGUGAAAGUUUGUGGCUCAACCAUAAAAUUGCCAUUGAUACUGUUGUUCUUGAGUGCUUGUGAAGUGGUUAGAAUGAGUAAUGUAGCGGUGAAAUGCAUAGAUAUUACUCAGAAUACCGAUUGCGAAGGCAGAUCACUAACAAUACACUGACGCUGAUGGACGAAAGCGUAGGUAGCGAACAGGAUUAGAUACCCUGGUAGUCUACGCCGUAAACGAUGGUUACUAGCUGUUCGGGUCAAUUGUAAUCUGAGUGG